rnacentral:ncRNA from 15 species
ACAUAUAGCUCAGCUGGAUAGAGCAGUGGCCCCCUAAGCUACAAGUCACAGGUUCGAAUCCUGUUAUGUG